GCCCCGUUCGUCUAGCGGUCUAGGACGCCGCCCUCUCACGGCGGUAACACCGGUUCAAAUCCGGUACGGGGUA
rnacentral:tRNA from 1 species